AAUAGAUACCCUGGUAGUCCACGCCCUAAACGAUGUCAACUGGUUGUUGGAAGGGUUCCCUUUCAGUAACGAAGCUAACGCGUGAAGUUGACCGCCUGGGGAGUACGGCCGCAAGGUUGAAACUCAAAGGAAUUGACGGGGACCCGCGCAAGCGGUGGAUGAUGUGGUUUAAUUCGAUGCAACGCGAAAAACCUUACCUACCCUUGACAUGUCUGGAAUCCCGAAGAGAUUUGGGAGUGCUCGAAAGAGAACCAGAACACAGGUGCUGCAUGGCCGUCGUCAGCUCGUGUCGUGAGAUGUUGGGUUAAGUCCCGCAACGAGCGCAACCCUUGUCAUUAGUUGCUACGAAAGGGUCACUCUAAUGAGACUGCCGGUGACAAACCGGGAGGAAGGUGGGGAUGACGUCAGGUCCUCAUGGCCCUUAUGGGUAGGGCUACACACGUCAUACAAUGGCCGGUACAGAGGGCUGCCAACCCGGCGAGGGGGUAGCUAAUCCCAGAAAACCCGGUCGUAGUCCGGAUCGCAGUCUGCAACUCGACUGCGUGAAGUCGG
rnacentral:rRNA from 1 species